CACCAGUAUCACGUCGCCAGUAUUUGUGACGAAAUUGAAACUAGAUUGAAAAUGAAAUAAAUCUAACUAAAAGGAUAUCGAACAUCAGCCGAAUACAUGUGGGAAAACUAGUAAAUCAAACUUAAAUAUAUCUGGGGACUUGUUCAUAUAAAAGAAUUUUAUUUGCCGGCAGUGCGACGUGCUACUCGUUUCACAACAGCAGAGAGAUCAUUUUCUACGCUGAGGCGAUUGAAAAGCUGGAUGAGGACCAGAAUGACCGAAGACCGCCUGACCGGACUGGCUCUCAUGAAUGUUCACAGGGAUAUAGAAGUGGACAUCAAUAAAAUUAUCGAUCGGUAUUCCAGCAAGAAGAAUAGAAAACUGGAUUUUGUAAUUUAAGGGAAAACAACGUAGUUUUUGUUAAGCCAAAGUAUUCUUGUUUUGUUUUAUAAUUUACUUCUAAUGUCAGUAAUUAAAUCAUACUAAACAUAA